GGAUGUGAGGGUGAUCUGGCUGUGACAUCUGUCACCCCAUUGAUUGCCAGCGUUGAUUCGGCUGAUCUGGCUGGCUAGGUGGGUGUCCCCUUCCUUCCUUCAAUGCUCCACGUGCGUCCCUCCCGAAGCUGUGCGCUGGGUCGAAGAGGAUGACCCUCCCCGAUAGAGGAGGACCGGUCUUUGGUCAAGGGUAUACGAGUAGCUGCGUUCCCCUGCUAGAACCUCCAAACAAGCUCUCAAGGUCCCCUAUGCUUUCUUACUUUGACAUGGAAACACAAGGUGUUCUUGAUGGAGAGAGGAGAAAGCUAAACUGAAUAUUUCUUCUGAAAAGAAAUUAGUAUUU
rnacentral:snRNA from 1 species